UGGACGCUGGCGGCGUGCCUAAUACAUGCAAGUCGAGCGAACGGACGAGAAGCUUGCUUCUCUGCUGUUAGCGGCGGACGGGUGAGUAACACGUGGAUAACCUACCUAUAAGACUGGGAUAACUUCGGGAAACCGGAGCUAAUACCGGAUAAUAUUUUGAACCGCAUGGUUCAAAAGUGAAAGACGGUCUUGCUGUCACUUAUAGAUGGAUCCGCGCUGCAUUAGCUAGUUGGUAAGGUAACGGCUUACCAAGGCAACGAUGCAUAGCCGACCUGAGAGGGUGAUCGGCCACACUGGAACUGAGACACGGUCCAGACUCCUACGGGAGGCAGCAGUAGGGAAUCUUCCGCAAUGGGCGAAAGCCUGACGGAGCAACGCCGCGUGAGUGAUGAAGGUCUUCGGAUCGUAAAACUCUGUUAUUAGGGAAGAACAUAUGUGUAAGUAACUGUGCACAUCUUGACGGUACCUAAUCAGAAAGCCACGGCUAACUACGUG
rnacentral:rRNA from 1 species